ensembl:snoRNA
UUGGCCCUGAAUCAAGACCAGUGGUUUGCUGUAGCUGUUGGUUUCAAACAGGAGCCAAGAGUACUGUGUUUCUGUGGUUUGGAAGCCAUUCAGCAUACCAGUGGCAAUGGCUCCUUCAAUUGGAAGAACAUAG